rnacentral:rRNA from 1 species
ACGCUCGACACCUACGGUAGGCAGCAGUGGGGAAUAUUGCACAAUGGGGGAAACCCUGAUGCAGCGACGCCGCGUGAGUGAAGAAGUAUUUCGGUAUGUAAAGCUCUAUCAGCAGGGAAGAAAAUGACGGUACCUGACUAAGAAGCCCCGGCUAACUACGUGCCAUCAGCCGCGGUAAUCUGAGCGGGCUGGCAAGGC